AUGGCUUGUCUUGUGAAUUGGAAAGAGAAUAAACUAGAUCAUCUCUGGAGAACUUCAAACACUUGGAGAGUUUGGGAUCCCUAGAAUCUUCUCCCAGAAGUGACUGUGAGCUGUCAGGAACCAGCUUUCAAGCACGACAGGAACCUUAACAGUGGGAAUAAUGUCUCCAUCUGCAGUGAUGAGCACCGAAAAUAAACAGAAGAUAAUAUGAAGGAAAUUGCUGAAAACAUGGUUUUAGUGGAAUCUUUGAAGUGUUUUCCUCUUCAGGGAGGUGGUUGCAAUUUGUUACAGCACACAAACCAGCAAGCGUUGUCUUUAUUGUGUUCUUAAGAAUUUGUGAUAAGGUGCCAGGGUCUGAACAUAUGAAAAAGCAAAGACGAUAAAUGGAAAGAUUAAUGUCCUCGGGAAAAUGAAGUAGUAGGUGUUUAAGUGCACGUGAAAGCUUUUCAAUAAAUGUCUUGUAUCUGAAGCUUGUGAUCUUUUAUUUGAUAAAUAAAAAGCAAGACACAAUAAUUUGAUUAGA